UACGUAGGGACCGAGCGUUGUCCGGAAUCAUUGGGCGUAAAGAGCGUGUAGGCGGCCACUUAAGUCCUGCGUGAAAUCUUGCGGCUCAACCGCAAGCGGUCGUGGGAAACUGGGUGGCUAGAGUGCGGGAGAGGAGAGUGGAAUUCCUGGUGUAGCGGUGGAAUGCGCAGAUAUCAGGAAGAACACCCGUGGCGAAGGCGCUGCUCUGGGCCGGUACUGACGCUGAGGAGCGAAAGCGUGGGGAGCGAACAGG
rnacentral:rRNA from 1 species